CAAAAAGUUUUAUUAUAUGAAGGCUAGCAGGAUAUAUGGUUAUGAAGAAUCAAAAUACAACACCAAAAUACUGCGAAAUAUUAAACUCACACCAAGCUUCCCACGCCAAUAAACUUCGCUCUAGCUUUAAUCCAGAGGUAGCUUAAUGCCUUGGUGUCACUGGAUUUUUUGAUCCCAUUCGGAACACCCCUUACAUUCUUUGCGCCCAUGCGUAGAGAUUAGAUUGAUAUGAAUCACCAAUAAACUAGGGCCUCUAUUCGAUAUGGUUAUAUGGAGAGGCACUACAAAAAGUUUGAAAAGAUUCUUGUCCAAGAAUCUCCAUCACGUUAGGAAAAGUAUGGUCGAGUAGUGGUCCCUCUUGGCUCAAGAGGGACAUGAUGAUGAUCAUGCAAGGAGGGCCACAAAAUACUAUCUAUUACUAGUGGAUUAAAUGCCACAGAAAUUAUCGACACCGUGUUCAGAAUCUAUAAGACAAUGGUAAUUAAAAUGUCAUUGCAUUAUAUCUAUAUAGACAUUUUAUCACAUAUUGCUUUGGGUUUUCUUUUCUAACAUUUAGAUUGAUCUACACUAGCAUACGGCUACUUAUCUAAGUAAAGAUGAUGAUACGAAGAGCGAGCAUGGGAUGUAUAUCAUGAAAUUUUCAAAUACUAUGUUGCAUUAUAUUCCAUUAUUUGUUUAUGUAACUUAAAAUUUAUUCUUGUUUUUAUACUAUAAUUCCUGCCUCCAAUAUAAAAAGCAAGAAAAAUUUAAAGUACAUAAACAAACAAUAGGAUAUAGUGCAACAUAGGUUUUUAAAAAUUACAGGAUAAACAUACCUUGCUCGUUCUCCUUAUCAACAUAUUGACUCGGGUCGGUAGUCCUUUGAUAGUGUGGUUCAAUUUAAAUGAUUUUAAAGAAAAACUGAGUAAUAUCUAAAAAAGUUAUGUUUAGAUAUAAUGCAAUAACAUUAAAAUUCCCCGAAGGCAUUGUCUUAAAGAUUCUGAACAAGAGCCCAUGAUUUAAGUGGCAUUUCACCCACCGAUAAGAGAUAAUUGUAUAAAGAAUAAUUAAACAUUGGACCCAAUAAGACGUAUACAAAUUAGUUAUCCUUUGAAAGGAACCAAGAGGUACGUAAUGUGUGGGUUGUGUAAGGAAGAGCCCGAAUCAACUGAUCAUCUUUUUGGGUCGUGUGAGGAUGCCAUGAAAAUAUGGGAUCAUAUAAGCAGGUGGUGCAAUACUAGCCUGUUCUAUAUUGUUUCUUUCGAGGAUAUUGUCGAGAUAAACAACCAUGUGGGGCUGGAUAAGAGGGCAAGAAAUUCUUCACGGCAUCUUCAUUGUAGUUUGUUCGAGCUUAUGGAAGGCAAGGAAUGACUACAAGUUUUCGAACAUUCCGGUGAAUGUUGGAAGGAUUAUUAACUCAUAUUAAAUCCACAAGUUUCUUAUGGUAUAAGGGUAAAAGGAAGAGUAGUAUUACUUGGGAAAAUUGGUGUAAAUUCAAUGUAUUAUAAGCCCUGUUUGUAUUAUCUCCGGUAAGUUUUUGGCCAACGGGUUGUAGUUGUGAAUGGUGUUUUUCAUUGAAUUAGUUUGGGUAUAGAACAAGUAUGAUAUUCUUAAGUAGCUUUGCUAUAAUGAGAAUUUUUUGAAUGUCUUAAAUGUUUUAA